rnacentral:rRNA from 1 species
GAGUUUGAUUCUGGCUCAGAACGAACGCUGGCGGCGUGGAUAAGACAUGCAAGUCGAGCGAGAAAUCUUUGGUAGCAAUAUUGGAGGUUUCUAGCGGCGAACGGGUGCGUAACACGUGGGCAACAUGCCGGAAAGCGGGGGAUAGCCCGCCGAAAGGCGGAUUAAUACCGCAUAGGGCCACUUCGCGAUUGCGAAACGGUCAAAGCUGGGGAUCUUCGGACCUGGCGCUUUCCGAUUGGCCCGCGGCCUAUCAGCUUGUUGGUGAGGUAACGGCUCACCAAGGCGACGACGGGUAGCUGGUCUGAGAGGAUGAUCAGUCACACUGGAACUGAGACACGGUCCAGACACCUACGGGUGGCAGCAGUCGAGAAUCAUUCACAAUGGGCGAAAGCCUGAUGGCGCGACGCCGCGUGGAGGAUGACGGCCCUCGGGUUGUAAACUCCUGUCAUCAGGGAGCAAUGCGCCCCCGGUUAACAGCCGGGUGCGUUGAUAGUACCUGAAGAGGAAGAGACGGCUAACUCUGUGCCAGCAGCCGCGGUAAUACAGAGGUCUCAAGCGUUGUUCGGAAUUACUGGGCGUAAAGAGUGCGUAUGCGGCGCGGUAAGUCAGAUGUGAAAUCCCGGAGCU